rnacentral:rRNA from 1 species
CAACUGGAGAGUUUGAUCCUGGCUCAGAGCGAACGUUAGCGGCGCGCUUAACACAUGCAAGUCGAACGAGAAAGCGUCCUUCGGGGCGCCGGUAAAGUGGCGUCCGGGUGCGUAACACGUAGGUAAUCUACCCUCAGGAGGGGGAUAACGCUUCGAAAGGGGUGCUAAUACCGCAUAAGACCACGCCGAGCCCGCUUGGCGAGGUAAAAGCUGGCCUCUGCAUGCAAGCUAGCACCUGAGGAUGAGCCUGCGGCCCAUCAGCUAGUUGGUAGGGUAAUGGCCUACCAAGGUUAUGACGGGUAGCUGGUCUGAGAGGAUGAUCAGCCACACUGGUACUGAAACACGGGCCAGACUCCUACGGGAGGCAGCAGUGGGGAAUAUUGGACAAUGGGCG